UCCCUGGUGGCUCAGACGGCAAAGCGUCUGCCUGCAAUGCAGGAGACCCAGGUUCCUUUCCUGGCUCAGGAA
rfam:TPA: Bos taurus chromosome 27, whole genome shotgun sequence.